AAAUUGAAGAGUUUGAUCAUGGCUCAGAUUGAACGCUGGCGGCAGGCCUAACACAUGCAAGUCGAACGGUAACAGGAAGCAGCUUGCUGCUUUGCUGACGAGUGGCGGACGGGUGAGUAAUGUCUGGGAAACUGCCUGAUGGAGGGGGAUAACUACUGGAAACGGUGGCUAAUACCGCAUAACGUCGCAAGACCAAAGAGGGGGACCUUCGGGCCUCUUGCCAUCAGAUGUGCCCAGAUGGGAUUAGCUUGUUGGUGAGGUAACGGCUCACCAAGGCGACGAUCCCUAGCUGGUCUGAGAGGAUGACCAGCCACACUGGAACUGAGACACGGUCCAGACUCCUACGGGAGGCAGCAGUGGGGAAUAUUGCACAAUGGGCGCAAGCCUGAUGCAGCCAUGCCGCGUGUAUGAAGAAGGCCUUCGGGUUGUAAAGUACUUUCAGCGGGGAGGAAGGUGUUGUGGUUAAUAACCGCAGCAAUUGACGUUACCCGCAGAAGAAGCACCGGCUAACUCCGUGCCAGCAGCCGCGGUAAUACGGAGGGUGCAAGCGUUAAUCGGAAUUACUGGGCGUAAAGCGCACGCAGGCGGUCUGUCAAGUCGGAUGUGAAAUCCCCGGGCUCAACCUGGGAACUGCAUUCGAAACUGGCAGGCUUGAGUCUUGUAGAGGGGGGUAGAAUUCCAGGUGUAGCGGUGAAAUGCGUAGAGAUCUGGAGGAAUACCGGUGGCGAAGGCGGCCCCCUGGACAAAGACUGACGCUCAGGUGCGAAAGCGUGGGGAGCAAACAGGAUUAGAUACCCUGGUAGUCCACGCCGUAAACGAUGUCUACUUGGAGGUUGUGCCCUUGAGGCGUGGCUUCCGGAGCUAACGCGUUAAGUAGACCGCCUGGGGAGUACGGCCGCAAGGUUAAAACUCAAAUGAAUUGACGGGGGCCCGCACAAGCGGUGGAGCAUGUGGUUUAAUUCGAUGCAACGCGAAGAACCUUACCUGGUCUUGACAUCCACAGAAGAAUCCAGAGAUGGAUUUGUGCCUUCGGGAACUGUGAGACAGGUGCUGCAUGGCUGUCGUCAGCUCGUGUUGUGAAAUGUUGGGUUAAGUCCCGCAACGAGCGCAACCCUUAUCCUUUGUUGCCAGCGGUUAGGCCGGGAACUCAAAGGAGACUGCCAGUGAUAAAC
rnacentral:rRNA from 1 species